GGGGAUUAAGCUCAGUGGCAUAAGCACCUGCCUUGCAAGCAGUUGGUUGUGAGGGGUACCGAUAAAAAAAUUUUUUUUAAAUGUAAAAAAAACCCCA
rnacentral:tRNA from 1 species